GCAUAUCAAUAAGCGGAGGAAAAGAAACUAACUAGGAUUCCCUUAGUAACGGCGAGUGAACCGGGAUGAGCUCAAAUUUAAAAUCUGGCGUCUUUCAGGCGUCCGAGUUGUAAUCUAUAGAGGCGUUUUCCGCGCCGGACCGCGUCCAAGUCUCUUGGAAUAGAGUAUCAAAGAGGGUGACAAUCCCGUACUUGACGCGACAACCGGUGCUCUGUGAUACGUUCUCAAUGAGUCGAGUUGUUUGGGAAUGCAGCUCUAAAUGGGUGGUAAAUUCCAUCUAAGGCUAAAUAUUGGCGAGAGACCGAUAGCGAACAAGUACCGUGAGGGAAAGAUGAAAAGCACUUUGGAAAGAGAGUUAAACAGCACGUGAAAUUGUUAAAAGGGAAACGAUUGAAGUCAGUCGUGUGAAAGGUAUUCAGCCGUCUCUGGCGGUGUAUUUGCCUUUCACGGGUCAACAUCAGUUUGAUCCGGUAGAAAAAGGCGGGAGGAAGGUGGCACCCUCGGGUGUGUUAUAGCCUCCUGUCAUAUGUGCCGGACCAGACUGAGGAACGCAGCUUGCCGCAAGGCCGGGGUUCGCCCACGUACAAGCUUAGGAUGUUGACAUAAUGGCUUUAAACGACCCGUCUUGAAACACGGACCAAGGAGUCUAACAUAUCUGCGAGUGUUUG
rnacentral:rRNA from 1 species